rnacentral:rRNA from 1 species
UACGUAGGGGGCAAGCGUUAUCCGGAAUCACUGGGUGUAAAGGGUGCGUAGGCGGUUAUGCAAGUCAGAUGUGAAAUACCGAGGCUCAACUUCGGAACUGCAUUUGAAACUGUGUGACUAGAGUACAGGAGAGGUAAGUGGAAUUCCUAGUGUAGCGGUGAAAUGCGUAGAUAUUAGGAAGAACACCAGUGGCGAAGGCGACUUACUGGACUGAAACUGACGCUGAGGCACGAAAGCGUGGGGAGCAAACAGG